GUUUCAUCACCAUUUAUUUACAACAGCCCUUUAUAAAUCAUUUAUCUGGAAAUUUCUCUCCCGUGUGUGGUGAAAACAUUUCUGUAAAACUGUCUUAAUGGAGUCUAUGAAUCAAUGCACUGUAAGUGUCAGGGGUUGAAUUGAUGGCUUAAGAACAAAGAAGGCUUUUUUAUAGGCAGGUGUCAAAAGCACUCACUGAAUUAGAAACUUUAAUCUAUGGCAGUCAGUGAUAUUUAUGUUCCAAAGAGAUAGUUUGAAAGUUCUACCUUUUUCACUGCUAUGGCUAUGAAGUUGUCUCAGAACCUAAAAGAAGGGCCAUAGGAAUGAGAAUUCUGCAGUCUAGAAGUAGAGAAGACUGAAUGGAUAUAUGGCCUCCCUUGGUCUUAUCUGUAAACUUACUGAUGGUGCAUUCGAUCUCCUCAUCCAGGUUGUUGAUAAAGAUAUUAAAGAGAACUGGCCUCAAUACUGCACCCUGGGGAAAACUACUUGUGACCCAUCACCAAGUGGAUUGGACUCCAUUCGCCACCACUCUCUGGGCCUGGCCUUCCAGGCAGUUUUUUUCCCGGCAAAGAGUACUCCUGUCCAAGCCAUGGGGAGCCAGUUUCUCCAGGAGAAUGCUGUAGGAAAUGGAAUUGAAGGCUUUACGAAAGUCCAGCCAGGCCGGUCUUUUUCCCUAACGGCUCAUUUUUUGGCACAUGGGGAUGGCCUCUCAUGCCUUUAAGACUUCCUUCAUGAAAAGCAUCCAGCCUUCCUUUGCCCUUCAGGACUACCUCACAAGGGACUCCAUCAACCAGACUUCUGAACAGACCCAAGUCUGCCCUCUGGAAUUCCAAGCAGGUCCAGAAGGGCACCUUCCUUGUCAACUCCCUCACCAGGAGGAUUACCCUCAGGAAAGUUACCCUCAACGCCUCCUAGACUGCACCCUCUCAGCUGUAUUGUAUUCUCAGCAGAUAUCUGGACAGUUGUUUGGAUCUAUGAAGCCCAGGAAAUGAAACAAGUUUGAAGUUGAAGGAAAAAAAAAUCAGAGAGCAGAGCUGAAGCCUACUAUUUCAGAACAACUUACCAAGAUAGCAGUGG